rnacentral:rRNA from 1 species
GAUGAACGCUGGCGGCGUGCCUAAUACAUGCAAGUCGAGCGAACAGACGAAGAGCUUGCUCCUCUGACGUUAGCGGCGGACGGGUGAGUAACACGUGGAUAACCUACCUAUAAGACUGGGAUAACUUCGGGAAACCGGAGCUAAUACCGGAUAAUAUAUUGAACCGCAUGGUUCAAUAGUGAAAGACGGUUUUGCUGUCACUUAUAGAUGGAUCCGCGCCGGAUUAGCUAGUUGGUAAGGUAACGGCUUACCAAGGCAACGAUGCGUAGCCGACCUGAGAGGAUGAUCGGCCACACUGGAACUGAGACACGGUCCAGACUCCUACGGGAGGCAGCAGUAGGGAAUCUUCCGCAAAGGGCGAAAGCUUGACGGAGCAACGCCGCGUGAGUGAUGAAGGUCUUCGGAUCGUAAAACUCUGUUAUUAGGGAAGAACAAAUGUGUAAGUAACUAUUCACGUCUUGACGUUACCUAAUCAGAAAGCCACGGCUAACUACGUG